GGCUUUGGACAUUUUUUUCACUUGACCAGCCACAUCCUGAAAACCCUGAUUUAAAUGGUCAGUUAUAUUUAAAUGUACCCAAAUCGAGUGAUAGAAGAUGUCAAUAAAUGGUCUGAACAACUAGCAUUCGAUUCAUUCGCUGGAUUUCUUCACACACCAUAUGGAUCAUCUUUGCUCAACUUUACUUGAUUUGGGCAGCUCCCAGGAGGAAAAAGCCUUUUAAGGACACAAUAAUGAUAAUACAGGGGCUGAAGCAAAUAAAUAAAUUAAAGCCAUUAAGUGAAAAAUGUCAUGCUGUCGUCUUCACGUCUAAAUCACACCGCACCAAAUGUGGUAGUCAAAUGUGCAUUCUGCUCUCCCACUGACAUGGUCUGGUCUACGAUGAUAAUCUGUUGUCAGGACUGUCAAAGCAGCACACAGGUCUUCUUAUCUUUGAAAGGAUUGGAUGAGCUGGCGAUGCCAGUGAGCAGAGGGUCACUGUGUCUGUGAUCCUUACAGUACUGGAUCAAGUCUGCUGCUGUCAGGGAUAUCUGCUGGGACAAAGCCGCAGUUGGUCGAUCAGUUUAUUUGUCUGAAGAACACUGUUGCUGGUGCACGUCUUUUCCGACAUUCCGCGGUGUAAAGGCUCCAAAUUUCCUAUGGAUCUGGAUUUAGUGACCUCCUUCAACGCCUAAAGCAGUAGCUGGAAAUUGAUUCAAAGUUGUUUUCCUUUACUGUACCUCAUCCAAAGAGUCUGCACAGGUUGUGCACAAGUGUCUGGUCAGAAAAGCAUUUGACGUUCCCUUUUGACCUGUAAACCCCCUUUUGAUUCACCGUUGCCAGUGGUUCAAAGACUUUUUUGAUGUGAAAGGUCAUAGAACACAGCCGUGGAAAUGUCACUCACAUCACAGACUCUCCUGUCACUGAAGUUGAAAAUAUUAUCAGGCAAGGCAAUAUGUUGUGCUUCAGGUGUACUGUUAUGUAUUGUCUGUUUAGAAUUGAUCAGUUUUGUUGUUAGUGUACACAGGAUUUGAAAGAAAUGUUAGGCUGCUAACAGUGUUAACAGGUCUGUGUGAAAAUUGUAAAUGCAGCUGUUGCUGUCUAUUUGUCCACUGUAAUGGACUGUAAUCAUUGUUAGUGACCACUGAUCAUUUCAAAUUUCCAUCUAUUAAUUACAAUUAGCAGGCUAUACCCAUAUACAGUCUUCCAGUUUGCCGGAGGAUGCCAAUGCAAAAGUAACAAUAUAUUGAGGCUUGGUGUUUGCAAAGAAAAGCCAAUUUGAGUUGAAGUCAAUGGGGAAAUUACCUAUGGCAUUUAUUUGGUACUUAAUUUCAUGUGAUUCAUAUGUGACAUUUGUUUGAACAUGUAUUGCAUAUUCAAUUAUAACCUGUUGUCAGUUU